rnacentral:rRNA from 1 species
CUACGGGUUGCACCAGUGAGGAAUAUUGCACAAUGGGGGGAACCCUGAUGCAGCAACGCCGCGUGGAGGAUGACGCAUUUCGGUGUGUAAACUCCUUUUAUAUGUCAAGAAAAUGACGGUAGCAUAUGAAUAAGUACCGGCUAACUCCGUGCCAGCAGCCGCGGUAAUACGGAGGGUGCAAGCGUUACUCGGAAUCACUGGGCGUAAAGGACGCGUAGGCGGGUUGGAAAGUCAGGUGUGAAAUCCUACAGCUUAACUGUAGAGCUGCACUUGAAACUUCUAAUCUAGAGUAUGGGAGGGGGAGAUGGAAUUAGUGGUGUAGGGGUAAAAUCCGUAGAUAUCACUAGGAAUACCUAAAGCGAAGGCGAUCUCCUGGAACAUUACUGACGCUAAGGCGUGAAAGCGUGGGGAGCAAACAGGAUUAGAUACCCCAGUAGUC